UACGUAGGGCGCAAGCGUUGUCCGGAAUUAUUGGGCGUAAAGAGCUCGUAGGCGGCUUGUCACGUCGACUGUGAAAACCCGGGGCUCAACUCCGGGCCUGCAGUCGAUACGGGCUGGCUUGAGUGCGGUAGGGGAGACUGGAAUUCCUGGUGUAGCGGUGAAAUGCGCAGAUAUCAGGAGGAACACCGGUGGCGAAGGCGGGUCUCUGGGCCGAUACUGACGCUGAGGAGCGAAAGCCAGGGGAGCGAACGGG
rnacentral:rRNA from 1 species